AGGUGUCCCUGCCCAUGGCAGGGGGGCGGAACAAAAUGAUCUUUAAGGUCCCUUCUGACCCAAACCAUCCAUGAUUCUCUAACACAAGGUUUUCCCUCCCUUGCAGAAACCUGCUCCUCCAAAGCCAGAGCCCAAACCUAAAAAGGCAGCUCCAAAGAAGAGCGAGAAGGUGCCCAAGGGGAAGAAAGGAAAAGCUGAUGCUGGCAAGGAGGGAAACAACCCUGCAGAAAACGGAGAUGCCAAAACAGACCAGGCGCAGAAAGCCGAAGGUGCUGGUGAAGCCAAGUAAAAACGUGUGAAUUUUUGAUAACUGUGUACUUCUGGUGACUGUACAGUUUGAAAUACUAUUUUUUAUCAAGUUUUAUAACAAUGCAGAAUUUUGGUUUACUUUUUUUUAAGCUAUGUUGUUAGCACACAGACCGCUUCGUUGUUGUGUUUUGGGGGGAGGGUGGAGGGGUGGGGGGGGGGGGCAGGGGGGGCAAAUGUCAUUUAGUCUAUUUCUCAAAACCUAAAUUUUAAUAAGAAAAGCUUUUUCCAGUCCCCCAGUUUUUUGGAA
rnacentral:lncRNA from 1 species